AAUCUGCCACAACGGCUUCCUGACGUGGCUAUUUAAUCUAUUGGAGCA
rnacentral:ncRNA from 17 species